GGAGUUUGGACCGUGUCUCAGUUCCAAUGUGGCCGUUUACCCUCUCAGGUCGGCUACUGAUCGUCGCCUUGGUGAGCCGUUACCUCACCAACCAGCUAAUCAGACGCAGGCCCAUCCCAUACCGAUAAAUCUUUGACAGUUCUAACAUGCGAUAAAACUGUGUUAUGAGGUAUUAAUUACCGUUUCCAGUAGCUAUCCCUUUGUAUGGGGCAGGUUGCCUACGCGUUACUCACCCGUCCGCCGCUUUCCACUCGAUCACUCAUCCGAAGAAUCGUUCACGAGCUUCUCGCUCGACUUGCAUGUGUUAAGCACGCCGCCAGCGUUCAUC
rnacentral:rRNA from 1 species